rnacentral:piRNA from 2 species
AAUGGAUAGCGCAUUGGACUUCU